rnacentral:miRNA from 1 species
GAGGAGAGAGGAGAGAGAGAGAGAGAGAGAGAGAGAGAGAGAGAGAAUCUUUUAAUAUUUAUUUAUUUUAGUUCUCGGCGGACACAACAUCUUGGUUUGUAUGUGGUGCUGAGGAUCGAACUGGGGCCGCACGCAUGCCAGGCGAGAGCGCUACCGCUUGAGCCACAUCCCCAGCCCGGUUCUAACCCUUUCAACGUGAAGAUUUUCUUCCUUGGUAGAAAAAAUAAAAAGACAAUAGGGAUCACUGCCAUAGAUUUCCAUACCUUUGCUCACAUUGAGCUCUCUCUCUCUCUCUCUCUCUCUCUCUCUCUCUCUCUCUCUCUCUUUCU